rnacentral:rRNA from 1 species
UAGCGUAGGUGGCAAGCGUUGUUCCGGAAUUAUUGGGCGUAAAGCGCGCGCAGGCGGUUCUUUAAGUCUGAUGUGAAAGCCCCACGGCUCAACCGUGGAGGGUCAUUGGAAACUGGGGGAACUUGAGUGCAGAAGGAGGAAAGCGGAAUUCCACGUGGUAGCGGAUGAAUGCGUAGAGAUGUGGAGGAACACCAGUGGCGAAGGCGGCUUCUGGUCUGUAACUGACGCUGAGGCGCGAAAGCGUGGGGAGCAAACAGGG